rnacentral:lncRNA from 1 species
UUUCUGGCAAUGUCUAGAUGAAAUGCAAAAUUAGAACUUAAGUUAUAACUGUAUACUUUUUUUUUUUUUAAAUGGGCUCUUGAUUGAAAUAAAGUUUCCACCAAUGGCUGUAUAUUCAGAAAACAAAAGUGCAAAUACACCACUUGUCAAAUCCAAGUUUCAUCCCUGACAGUAAUCGCAGCAGCCAGUCAUGUUCUAUGAAGUUACUAGGUCACAGCAAGCAGAAGGGCCCAGUCCACAUAUCCUGUAUAACCAUUGAGAACUGGCGAAUCACUACUGAUUAAUCGCUAACCAGCAAAACUGUUGCUUCACAAAACUCUUGCUCUUAACUUGAGACAAAUCUGCUGUUAUUUUUCCCUGAGGUUUGAGUUGUUUGUUUGUUUCUUUGUUUCUUUGUUUCUUUGUUUUGGCAGGAGGGGAGGGGUCAUUAAAACUGUUGAUUACCAGGGAUGCUUAUCGGUUUUCAAUCAAACCACCUUAUGCUUUUCUUUAACACCUGAAAUAAUAUUUUUCCAUCAAGGGUUGCUGAAGAGUGUGACUUGGUCUGUCAAUGAGUGGUUGAAAGUCAGGUCAAAUCUGUUCAGCACAGUAGAUAGACAUCAGCUAGUAUGGCUACGGGUACCUAAAAUAGAAUAAGACCAGAUUGAGAAGACUGGAGACAUUGUGAAAAAAAUCACAUAAAAUACCUCAGUGAUUUUUUUAAUAUGAUGUUAUCCUCAAAUGUUGUCGAGUUACAGAAAACACCAGUAAGACGCACUUCACCUCUUCCUUGGCUUUUCAUGUAGUACUUAGACAAUCAGAAAUCCUUGGUUAAAGUACAGGUUUGUCUUUACAUUAUGUUCCUAUUGGUUAGUUCUAAGCUAUCUACACCUCCAUAUGUUCGUCUUCUAGAUUCAUCUGUGCUACUAUCUGUAGCUGAGCAUUCCUUUGCAAGUGCCCGGAUUUAGAUAUGUGUGUUUUCUUUUCAGAAUGCAGCACAAAGCUUUGCAAAUAUAGUGCUAAUCAGUCACCUUUUACACCUAAAUUAGAGCAUAUGACUUCAUUUUUGUCAUAUAAAUAUUACAAAGACAUUUUUUAACACACACACACACACACACACACACACACACACACACACACACACACACACACACACGCCGGAAAAGUCCUAAGGCCUAAGUAGGAAUACUUAGUUCCCAUAAAUACAUCUAUAAACCAGUUUUUAUACAUAAAGGUUAUAUCUGAAUUUACCCAUUGUGCCUUGUUUAAAAACUUGUUCCAAGGAAGAAAAUUAUUCUGGUAUUAAAAUGUUCUCAUCAAGUGCUUAUAUUUCUACUCCAUUGCAGUAAUGAGAUUAAAGCAUUUAUCCCCCCCCCCCCUAUAAUAAAUGAAUCAAGGGAUAGGUUUAGUAGAAGGUUUAGUACCUUCUACUAAAAGGUACACUCUUGGUGCUUGCCACUGGGCAAUUUGCACAUGUAAAUAGAGAAGGGGGAUGUCUGGGUGGUUGGUAGCUUUGGAGUUAAUCCUUUGUUUUAAGUGAACAUUGAUCCCCUUGGAUCCUUUUCUCUUUCCUCCAUGCAGUGCCUUCAGUGCGGUAUUUCUGAGUGGCACUGCAGUUGUAACCUGACUUCUCAACUAUAGUAAAGUUGUGAGGAACAUAGUAGAUACUAUCGGGUAAAAAAAUAAAUAGCAGACCAGUUGGAAAAAGUAAACUUAAGUUCUAAAUCAAAUUUAAUGACUUCAUAACGACUACAAUCCUACAUAUAAUGAGGUGCUAUCUAAGUCUGAAUACUGUCUCUAUUGCAAAGCUAUUGAAGCUAAACCCAUAAACACUUCAGAGUGAUGUGUAGGAAGCUCGCAUUUGCAUGUAUGUUUCAAUCCAAAAGGAAUAUAUCUAUCAUUGGGUAAGAAACAAUGAAAGUGGUUCUGCAAGGCUGGCACUAUUGUUACAGUCCUUGGCAGGGGUGGGAAGAAAUCUUAUGAAAAAUUAAAGUACAGAAAGCAUGCUGUGCAGUCAAAGCUCAUCAGUCUCCUGUUUCAACCCACCUACAUUGCACAUGAAGUUCUUUAUGCAACAUGUUUUUACAAAUUAUUUGCAUUUAAUAAAUAGAUGUAUCAAAUAUAUCAUAAAGGACAGAAACCUUUGAAAAUUUAAGAAUUAUGUCAAGGUGUUCAACCACUGGUCGUCCAAAUUUUCAAUUAUUAAUCAGGACUGGGGUUGCCGAGCUAUUACCAACACUGCUUUGCUGAGUUCCAGUGCCUAAAGUUCCCUCCUGGUUCUCUCUUGCUAAGUUUCAGAGUCUCAGCUUUGGCCUCACUAAUAAUUCCUGUUUUGUCCCUGCUUCCUCUUUUCUCUUUUCUAUUUUCUGUCAAGUGUUCCUGUAGUGGUGACUUUGCUACUGCCAUAACAAAACUCCAUGACUAAGGAAACCUGAAAAGGAAAGCAUUUAUUGUAGGGGUUCGCAUGAGUCCAUGACCAUCAUGGGGGAAAGUAUGACAGCAGUCAGGCAGGCAGGCCAGCAUGGUGCUGGAACAGUGGCUGAGAGCUUGUACUGUAUCCAUGAAUAAGACACACACACACACACACACACACACACACACACACACACACACAGAGAGAGAGAGAGAGAGACAGAGAGAGACAGAGAGAGAGAGAGACAGAGACAGAGACAGAGACAGAGACAGAGUCAGACAGAGACAGAGACAGACAGAGAGAACACAAACUGAGGUUGGUUUGGACUUUUGGAACCUCAAAACCUACAUCUGUUAACACAUGACCUCCAACAAAGUCCUUCCCAAACAGUUUUGACAUCCGAGGCCCACAUAUUGAAAUACACAUGCCUACUGGGGCUAUUCUCAUUCAAACCACUACAGCUUCCUUUACUCAUCAUGUAAACAGAAGGUUGCCAAGGAACCUGUGUCAUUGCGAUUCUGAGUAUAGCCAGUUUCAAUGGGAUGAGCCUGGGAAUUUCCCUGCCCACUGAACUACUACUGACCCUCCCAAGACUCAUCCUCCAGCCUGUAAAAGAUGCUACAGUAACCCUGAAACUCGUUUGUCAUCUCUAUCACCAUAGUCAUUUCAAAAUCGGUCUAUAGUAAUAUAUGAAAUUAGAUUCUUAGGUGAAGAGUAUAUAUUCUUUCUAGUUACAAUUUUUUUAACUACAGUUCCUACUCUAGCCCCCAAUAUUUCUAUCACAUUUGACUGGCUGUGUUUCUGGAUAAGGAGGUACAGGCAAGAACUUUGAAAAAAAUCAUUGGUCCUAAGCUUUGCUCGUUCUGUGUCCUUGGAUGCUCACAUUCCUUAAGGCAAGGAUAUUUCCCUUACCCAAGUCCAUUCAUGUUUUAUGAUGCUUUCACAAGGUCGUUUAGGGACAAAAAUAUUGAAUGAAUCAGAGAGAAUAACGGGAACUAUGUACCAACCACAAGCGAUUGCCACUGGAGUGCGUUCCUCCCUCACAGACAUCUUAAGGUCGUCUCCCUUGUGCUGGAUGCACCCAUUCAGUGAUGAUUAGAUGACAUGUGGUCAAAGGUCAGGCUUAGAGAAGCAGCACUUUUCCCACCCAGGUGAUGUGGUCUCUGUUUAUCUAUGACACAGUGACAUUAAUUGCUAAGUAACUGAAAUGAAAUGGGAUAGCCCAGCCUACAGUCUCUUGUUUUAUUUUAUCAUCAUUUUCAACAGACUCAAAAUUGCAUUACAACUUUCUAAACACAGGUUUUACUCUCAGUAGUUGGAUUUUGUCUGUGUGUGUGUGUGUGUGUGUGUGUGUGUCACAGCUGAGAAAACUAACAGAUCCCCACUACUUAGGGGAUAUUUUCAUAGUACAUUUAGAGCUUUUCUGUUUGAAUCCCAGAGAGAAAGGGCUAUUUUCAAACAGAAACUCUGUGUUCAAGGAUUGCUCCAUUUGAAAAUCUCAAGGUCAAAGUGAAAAAUAAAAUGAAAACAUGUUAGUGACCUAAAGUUUAAAUGUGAAGAAGAAAUGCUAUCAAAAAAUGCUCAGGAGAAAACAAACGGCACGUUAUAGAGUGUGCUAAUCAUAGCAGGGUCCAUAGAGCUAUGCAUCAAAAGGCUAAAACAUGGGAGUUUUAAGGAAUAGAUGCAUAAACAUAUUAAAAGCUGUGCUGGGGACAGCAUUCGGUGGUGGAUCCCUUGUAUAACACUCUGGGUUGGUUAUAGAUUAUACACGCAUGUGCACACACACCCUGAGCUGGGAACAUGACCCUAUGGUAAAACACUUGCUUAGCAUGCAGGAGGCCUUAAUUGCAUUCCCCAUACUUAGGAAUUAGAAUAGAGUCAC